GUUUGUCUUUGACCACCCUCGAGACCCUCCUGUGGCUGUGCCGAUUUCAAGCCGUCAGACAACCUCCUAAAGAAGUUCACGAGCGACGUGCUUUAUGGAGAAAGUCAAUGGGAAGAAACUGCGGACGAGGAUCCUGAAGACCCGGGAAACAACUCCGACGAAUGUCCUUAGCAGUCUACAAUUGACUGGAGCUUGAAUUUUUCAUAUUUUCCUUCGUUCUAAUCGCAUCAUUUCACGAAUAAUAAAUGCCUGUCAUUCAUUCAAUGCACGGCUGUCGUUUCUGCGUCAGCAGUCAAACCGAAACGGAUAACAAGGAAGGACAAGGAGCGCCUCCCGCAGCAUGUGUAGCAUGCACAAACACGUCGGGCGCUUUUGGCUAUUUUUUUGGCUAGAAGGUACUGGCGUACUGGCUAUAUUUUGGCUACAGGUGGCCGGAAAACGGGCUAUACAAGGCCUUCGCCAUCUGGCAACCCUGCGCGUCGCAGCAAGUUGGUUUUCUCUUCAGUAACCGUCGCAAGGAUGGUGAUGGUGUAUCUCCUGUGCAGUAUUUACGUGUGUUUCAGUGCGCUUUGUAAGACAAUGCGAUGACAAUGGUUCCUGUGCAACACAUUGUCGAUUUCCCGGAAGCGUUUUGACGCCAAGAAGACGUAAACGGCGUAGAGGCAAGACCGCACUGUGAAACGCCAAUCGGACUGCACGUCGCGAAUGUUUGCAGAAACUUCGGAGGAACUUGAAGAGAAACAGGAUAAGAAGAUUCCGAACGUACGGUGAAGAGGAAUGGGGUGUAUGUCGCGACCUGCAUAGAAAACAGGAGUGUCGUGUCAUCUUCUCUAAGAAAAUACAAGAUGUGAGGUGGCCAACGAACGAAAGCUCCCUGUGGUCCGUGAGUGCAUCGCACAGUCAGGCAUAUGCUUUGUCUAGACACAGUGAGUGAUCAGACUUAUACUGCGUGGGAUGUAAAUGUAGAGAUGUAUUGAUUAUUUCUUUCUGCUCAGUGUAUGCUUUUAGCAGAAUAAACGGUAAUUACUUGA